rnacentral:rRNA from 1 species
UACGGAGGGUGCGAGCGUUGUCCGGAAUCACUAGGCGUAAAGGGCGCGUAGGUGGCCUGUGGAAGUCUGCGGUGAAAGCCCGGCGCUCAACGCCGGGUCGGCCGUGGAUACUCUCGGGCUUGAGCUUACUAGAGGCAGGUGGAAUUCCGGGUGUAGCGGUGGAAUGCGUAGAGAUCCGGAAGAACACCGGUGGCGAAGGCGGUCUGCUGGGGUAAUGCUGACACUGAUGCGCGACAGCGUGGGGAGCAAACAGG